GCGUUGCCAUGGGAGCGGGGCGGGCCCGGGAGCGUCGCAGCGGGCGCCGAGCGGGCCGGGCCGGGCCGGGCCGAGCCUGGCCGGGCUGAGCCGGGAGCGGAGCCGGGCUGAGCGGAGCCGGGCCGCCCGCCGCCCCUGCAGGCGCUGCCCCCCGCCGCCAUGCUCAUCAAGGAGUACCACAUCGUGCUGCCCAUGAGCUUGGAUGAGUACCAAGUGGCCCAGCUCUACAUGAUCCAGAAGAAGAGCCGGGAGGAGUCGAGCGGCGAGGGCAGCGGCGUGGAGAUCUUGGCCAACCGGCCCUACAGCGACGGCCCCGGCGGCAGCGGCCAGUACACGCACAAGGUUUACCAUGUGGGCUCCCACAUCCCCAGCUGGUUCCGGGCGCUGCUCCCUAAGGCUGCACUGCAGGUGGAGGAGGAGUCCUGGAAUGCCUAUCCCUACACCCGCACCAGGUACACAUGUCCCUUCGUGGAGAAGUUCUCCAUCGAGAUCGAGACGUACUACCGGCCGGACGCGGGCCAGCAGACCAACAUCUUCAACCUGAGCGCUGCUGAGAAGAGGCAGAGGAUUUUGGACACCAUCGACAUCGUGCGUGACCCCAUCUCCCCUGGGGAAUACAAGCCCGAGGAGGACCCCAAGCUCUACCACUCGACCAAGACAGGCCGGGGCCCGCUGGGGGAUGACUGGCUGGAGUCCCCCAGCACCGGGCCCCUGAUGUGCGCCUACAAGCUCUGCAAGGUGGAGUUUCGCUACUGGGGGAUGCAGUCCAAAAUCGAGCAGUUCAUCCAUGAUGUGGGGCUGCGGAAGGUGAUGCUCCGUGCCCACCGCCAGGCCUGGUGCUGGCAGGACGAGUGGACGGACCUGACGAUGGAGGACAUCCGCCAGCUGGAGGACGAGACCGCUCAGAUGCUGGCACAGAAGAUGGGCAAGUGCAGUGGGGCCGAGGAACCCCCCAUGGCCGGGCCCAGCGCCGAGGGGCGGAUGGAGCCGCACCGUGCCAGCGGGCAGGAAGGGGCCGAGGCGCAGCAGGAGGCCGAUGUCUCCCCUGAUGAUACCUUCACCAAGCAGUGGUCCACCUCUUCCCGGUCUUCCUACUCUUCCCAGCAUGGAGGGGGGGUGUCUCCUCAGAGCCUGUCCGAGUGGCGGAUGCAGAACAUCGCCCGUGACUCCGAGAACAGCUCCGAGGAGGAGUUCUUCGAUGCCCACGAGGACCUGUCUGACAGCGACGAGGUCUUUGCCAAGGAGAUGACCAAGUGGAGCUCCAAUGACUUCUUGGACACGCUGGAGCGGCCGGUGGAGCUGGAUGAGGCGCUGGGGGAAGGCCCCAGCACUGCCAAGGUGGAUGGAGAAGGUUUGGGGACAUCCAGCUUCUCCGAGGGCAGCUCGUCGGACGGCACGGCGCCGGUGUGCCAGAUCCACGUCCUCUUCCUCAUCCUGCACAGCGGGAACAUCCUGGACCAGGGCUCGGGAGAGCCGGGCUCCAAGCAGGCGGACGUGCAGACCUUGGCGGCCACCUUCGAUGCUGUCACCCGCGUCCACUUCCCCGAGGCGCUGGGACACGUGGCGCUGCGCCUGGUGCCCUGUCCCCCCAUCUGUGCUGCUGCCUAUGCCCUCGUCUCCAGGUUGAGCCCCUACAGCCACGACACGGACAGGCUGUACAGCAGCCAGGACCACAUCCCUCUGGCAGCCCUCCCACUGCUGGCCACCUCCUCGGGGGGCUACCUGCACGCCUUGGCCACCGUCAUUGCUCGUGCCAACCAGGCCUACGGCACCUUCCUGCGCUCCAGGGAGGGAGCCGGCUUCUGCGGCCAGGUAGUGCUGCUGGGGGACUGUGUGGGGGGCAUCCUGGGCUUCGACGCGCUCUGCCAGACCCGGGUGGGCUCUGGGGGCAGCCGCAGCAGCAGCCGCCGCGGCAGCUUGAGCAUGGAGCCCAUCUCCCCGGAGCUGUGCGGCGGCCGGGACCCGCUGGCUGAUGGAGCAGAUGGAGCAGCAGGAUCAGACCCCGAGCCAGGGCCACAGUCGCUCUGCAGGGAGCAGGGAGAGAGCCACUGUCACAGCUCCUCGUGCAGCCUGCAGGCCAGCGAGGCCGCGCUGGAGCCGGAGGCAUCGCGGAGCAGCACCGUGGCACUGGAUGGGGCAGAGGGUGCCAGCACCCGCCUCGACUUUAAGGUAUCCGGCUUCUUCCUCUUUGGCUCCCCGCUGGGGCUGGUGCUCGCGCUACGCAAGACCGUCAUGCCUGCUCUGGAUGUGGCUCAGCUGCGUCCUGCCUGUGAGCAGAUCUACAACCUCUUCCACGCGGCCGACCCCUGCGCCUCCCGCCUGGAGCCCCUCUUGGCCAAGGCCUUCCACGCUGUCCCACCGCUCAGCGUGCCCCGCUACCAGAAGUACCCCCUGGGUGAUGGCACCUCGUCCCUGCUGGCGGAUACCCUGCAGAUGCACUCUGCCCUCUUCCUGCCCAAGGUGGACAUGGCCACCCCUCCUACCCCCACCAGCAGCUUCGGGGGCUUCUGGAAGAGCAGUGAGCCUGUAGAGCCCCCCGAUCCUGCUAGCACCAGUGAACUUGUCAAGGUCCUGGAGCGCUGGUGGGGCCGGAAGCGCAUCGACUACUUGCUGUACUGCCCCGAAGCCCUGACUGCCUUCCCCACCAUCACCCUGCCCCACCUCUUCCAUGCCAGCUACUGGGAAUCCUCCGACGUGGUGGCCUUCAUCCUGCGCCAGGUGAUGGAGAAGGAGGAGUCGCAGCCAGCAGAGAAUGAGGAGGGCUCCACCUACAGCCCUGCCAUCCCCCGGGAGAAGUGGCAGCGCCGGCGCACCCAGAUGAAGAUCCGGAACGUGACGGCCAACCACCGGGUCUGCGACGUGAUCGUGUGCGAGGGCAAAGCCCAGGUCCUCACCGGGCGCUUCAUGUACGGCCCCCUGGACGUGGUGACACUGACCGGGGAGAAGGUGGACAUCUACGUCAUGACGCAGCCGCUGUCGGGGAAGUGGAUGUACUAUGGCACCGAGGUGACGAGCGGCAGCGGGCGCCUGACCUUCACCAUCCCUCCAGACAGAGCUCUGGCCAUCGGCAUCUACCCCGUGCGCAUGGUGGUGAGGGGGGAUCACAGCUUCGCCGAGGCGUACCUGACCGUGGUGGCCCCUGGCACCGAGUCCAUCGUGUUCAGCAUCGAUGGCUCCUUCGCCGCCAGCGUCUCCAUCAUGGGCAAUGACCCCAAAGUGCGGGCAGGGGCUGUCGACGUCGUACGGACUGGGACUGUCCCUGCAUGGACUCCUGGCAGCAGCGUGUGUCCCCUCCCAGGCACUGGCAGGACUUGGGCUACAUGAUCAUCUACGUGACGGGGCGCCCCGACAUGCAGAAGCACCGCGUGGUGGCCUGGCUCUCCCAGCACAACUUCCCCUACGGCUCCGUGUCCUUCUGCGACGGGCUCACCCACGACCCCCUGCGCCAGAAAACCGCCUUCCUCCAGAGCCUGCGCACCGAGGCAGAGAUCAACAUCAUCGCUGGCUACGGCUCCACCAAGGACAUCUCCGUCUACAGCUCCCUGGGGCUCCCGCCAACGAACAUCUACAUCGUGGGACGGGCCAUCAAGAAGUUCAACAACCAGUGCCAGUUCGUGUCCGAGGGCUACGCAGCCCACCUUGCCCAGCUCGAGGCAGCAGCCCAGGCCCACUUGCCCAAGGGCCCCUCGCGGCCCACGCUGGGCAAAGGCACCUAUGGGUGCCUGGCGCCCGUCGACGUCCUCCGCAAGCAGAACCAGCUCCUGCGGUCGCGGGGCUCCAGCCAGGCCGAGUGGGACGGGGCAGGACCUUCAGCAGCAGCCCCAGGGCUGCCCAGGGCCAAGCCCCGCAGCGUCAGCCUCAAGCUGGAGGAUGAGGAGUGAGGGUGGCACAACCACUGUCCCUCCUCCAGCACCACGCUUCGCUUCCCAGCCAGGAGCAACCGGGGCCAGAGCCUGCGAUGGGCACCGAGCCCAUGGGAAGGAGAUGAGGGCACUGGGUCCCAUGGACCGAGGGGUCCUGGGAGGUGGUGCUCCGAGGGCUGCAGUGAUCCCCUCGGGACUGAGCCACCCCAGCUCCCCCCUCCUGCCCCGUCCCCCUGGUCCUGUGGGGCUGCAGAGCUGCUGCUGGGCAGUGCCCGGUGGGGUUUGUCCCCCAGGGAGCCGGAGUAUGGCCCCCCAGGGGCAUCUGUCCCUGGGCAGCAGUGAGGGGCCCCAAGGCAAGUGGCACUUCCCUGCUUCCCUCUUAUUUAUUUCCGUUGGGUGCCGCGGGGCCGGGAAGGGGAAGGGCCAGGAUUCGGAAGUGCUUCCUCUGUUCUCUUCCGUUUUGGUGUGAAAUAAAGCGAUGUAAAGAUGAGGCA